rnacentral:rRNA from 1 species
UUGCUCCAGGGUAACUGUCCAGGUUAAACCUUACUUUGGAAAUUGUCUCAAGGUAGUCUGAGAGGUUAACCCUUCACACUGGGACUGACACACGGCCCACACUCCUACUGAACGCAGCCUUGGGGAAUUUUGGACAAUGGGCGAAAGCCUGAUCCAGCAAUGCCGCGAGCAUGAUGAAGGCCUUCAGGUUGUAAACUGCUUUUGUACGGAACAAAAAGACUCUGGUUAAUACCUGGGGUUCAUGACGGUACCGUAAGAAUAAGCACCUGCUAACUACGUGCCAGCAGCCGCGGUAAUACAUAAGGUGCAAGCGUUAAUCGGAAUUACUGGGCGUAAACAUGCGCAGGCGGUGAUGUAAUACAGAUGUCAAAUCCCCGGGCUCAACCUGGGAACUGCAUUAGUGACUGCAUCGCUCGAGUGCCGCAAAGGGGGAUGGAAUUCCGCGUGUAGCUGUGAAGUGCGUAGAUAUGCGGAGGAACACUCAUCGCGAAGGCAUCCCCUGGGCCUAACUGACGCUCAUGCACGAAGCAUGGGGACCAACAGCUUAGAUACCUGGUAGUCACGCCCUAACUAUCCAACUGUUGUUGGAAUUCAUUUCUCAGAACGAACCUACGCGUGAUUUGACCCCUCGGUACACGCCGCAAGUUACACCGAAGGAGUGACUGGACCGCCAAGCGAGGAUGAGUGGGUAAUUCGCCCACGCAGAAAGCUACGCGCUUUGACGGGACGA